GGAGGUCGGCGGUGGACGUUGUCACUCGCCGACCGGGUCAGGUCCGGAAGGAAGCAGCCCAGACGAGUCGGACGCGGGUCGCGCGUCGGCCUCCUUU
rnacentral:SRP_RNA from 1 species